rnacentral:lncRNA from 1 species
GGCGCAGCUAUUGCUGGACGGCCAGUGGGAGAGCGAGGCCUGAGCCUCUGCGUCUAGGUGAGAAGGGGGUGCGCCAGCGGGAGCGGCCGGGCUGCGGGCUCCUCCUCGCCUGGCUCGGGAAGUGGUUGCGGGAGCUCGGGCUGCAGGCCUGGCCGAGGCGGGGGCGCCGACCAGCCGUCCCGCCCCCGCCCCCGCCCGGGUACGCCCAGAAGUGAGGGCGCCCGCCUCACCCCGGGUGGUCUCUGCCCCUCUUUGCCCCGCCGCCGCCCUUCACAGGGCCGGGACCGCGUGGGGGACGUACGGUGGGGCCUGGUUUGCAGCCGCGGAGCCCGGGGAGCCGCCUGGGGUGGGAGGCCGCUAGAGGUGGCGAAGGUGGGGCGGGGUGGUUAGCCGAGCAGCGGGCUCCGCGUGCUCGCGGGAGGGUAGCGGCAAAGGGAGGCCUAGUGAUUGCAGGAUUCCGGGUCUGGGGAGGAAGAAAGUGGUGGGAAAUAGGUGAUGCUCAGAAAAGGGUGCUGAGGGAGAAGGCGCGGGGCCGGGGAGUGUGGUUGGCCUAUUAGAAGUAAGGAUUGAUAGGGCCUGGGUGGAGAUCAGCUGGGAGUGAAGGGGGGACGGGCUUGGGUUUUGAAGGUGAAGGUCUCUGGAGAACUGGGGACACGUGGAUCUGGAGUAAGAGGCACCUACUGAAACCGGAAGGUGGCUGAGAAGGUUUUAUGUGAGGUGUGGACGGGAGGCUAUUGGACUAGAAGGCAUUAGUUGGUCUGUUAGGACAAAGUAUACAAGCAGCAAACGCGGUAGAUUUAUGUGUGGUAGGUGAAGGCUGUGAAUCUUUUAUGAGUAGUUGAGCAAGAACAGUUGUCUGAUUCUGCGGUGUCGGAGAGUGGAGGGUCUCAGGUAGUGUCUUGGUCAGGCUGGAGUGCAGUGGCGAGAUCAUAGCUCGUUCCAGCC